AUCUCUUGGUUCCAGCAUCGAUGAAGAACGCAGCGAAAUGCGAUAAGUAAUGUGAAUUGCAGAAUUCAGUGAAUCAUCGAAUCUUUGAACGCACAUUGCGCCCCCUGGUAUUCCGGGGGGCAUGCCUGUUCGAGCGUCAUU
rnacentral:rRNA from 3 species